GUCUCUAUAGGCAAAAAAAAAUUAUUUUAUGUCUCUCCAGGCAAGUGUCUAAAGAACAAAACUAAUUGAUUUAACAAACCAAGCUCACGUGACAUUGCCGUGGUAUUGUGACAUAACCUUUAAUUCAUCACCGAUUGCUCAAGUGGAGCCAAAUAGAGGUUGGUGUAUAAAGUUGGCUCCAUACAACAUCAGAGGAUGUGGAGUAGGGGUGGGCAAACGGGUCCUGGGCCCGUGGAUAGGGGCAGGUAUUGAUGGUUUGGGACGGGUACGAAGCGGGUCCAUAUUAUUUUACAUACAAAGCAGGGCGGGGUGGGUGAAGUCGUACAACUCCAAACAAUGAAUCAGUCAUCUCCUCUGUUUGACUCAGAUUUGCCUGGAAGCCGAGCUCUACUAACUGUCUUUUUCAAUUUCAAGGAUGAAUUUAGAAGGGUUUGUGCCGAACCCUGUGACUUGGACAUCAUUAUUGUCAAGUCAUGCUCGUUGUGGCCGCCAUGAAGAAACCUUUGAGUUGUUUGGUAGAAUGAGGUCGGUAGGAAUUGAAACUACAGCUGAAUUGCUUUCUGUGGUGUUAUUUGUAUGUGCUAAUGUAGAAAAUCAGCUGUGUUGCUGUUUUUUUUUUCCUUCAAUCUGUGCAGCUGCUGAUGUGCUGCUAUGUGAUGUAAUUAUUCUGACUAAGCUGUGAAUCUGUGCAACUGCAACUUCAAUAUGUGAAUCUGUAUAAAAAUUCAGUUUUUUCCCC